rnacentral:rRNA from 1 species
AGAGUUUGAUCAUGGCUCAGAUUGAACGCUGGCGGCAGGCCUAACACAUGCAAGUCGAGCGGAUGAAGGGAGCUUGCUCCUGGAUUCAGCGGCGGACGGGUGAGUAAUGCCUAGGAAUCUGCCUGGUAGUGGGGGAUAACGUCCGGAAACGGGCGCUAAUACCGCAUACGUCCUGAGGGAGAAAGUGGGGGAUCUUCGGACCUCACGCUAUCAGAUGAGCCUAGGUCGGAUUAGCUAGUUGGUGGGGUAAAGGCCUACCAAGGCGACGAUCCGUAACUGGUCUGAGAGGAUGAUCAGUCACACUGGAACUGAGACACGGUCCAGACUCCUACGGGAGGCAGCAGUGGGGAAUAUUGGACAAUGGGCGAAAGCCUGAUCCAGCCAUGCCGCGUGUGUGAAGAAGGUCUUCGGAUUGUAAAGCACUUUAAGUUGGGAGGAAGGGCAGUAAGUUAAUACCUUGCUGUUUUGACGUUACCAACAGAAUAAGCACCGGCUAACUUCGUGCCAGCAGCCGCGGUAAUACGAAGGGUGCAAGCGUUAAUCGGAAUUACUGGGCGUAAAGCGCGCGUAGGUGGUUCAGCAAGUUGGAUGUGAAAUCCCCGGGCUCAACCUGGGAACUGCAUCCAAAACUACUGAGCUAGAGUACGGUAGAGGGUGGUGGAAUUUCCUGUGUAGCGGUGAAAUGCGUAGAUAUAGGAAGGAACACCAGUGGCGAAGGCGACCACCUGGACUGAUACUGACACUGAGGUGCGAAAGCGUGGGGAGCAACAGGAUUAGAUACCCUGGUAGUCCACGCCGUAAACGAUGUCGACUAGCCGUUGGGAUCCUUGAGAUCUUAGUGGCGCAGCUAACGCGAUAAGUCGACCGCCUGGGGAGUACGGCCGCAAGGUUAAAACUCAAAUGAAUUGACGGGGGCCCGCACAAGCGGUGGAGCAUGUGGUUUAAUUCGAAGCAACGCGAAGAACCUUACCUGGCCUAGGCAUGCUGAGAACUUUCCAGAGAUGGAUUGGUGCCUUCGGGAACUCAGACACAGGUGCUGCAUGGCUGUCGUCAGCUCGUGUCGUGAGAUGUUGGGUUAAGUCCCGUAACGAGCGCAACCCUUGUCCUUAGUUACCAGCACCUCGGGUGGGCACUCUAAGGAGACUGCCGGUGACAAACCGGAGGAAGGUGGGGAUGACGUCAAGUCAUCAUGGCCCUUACGGCCAGGGCUACACACGUGCUACAAUGGUCGGUACAAAGGGUUGCCAAGCCGCGAGGUGGAGCUAAUCCCAUAAAACCGAUCGUAGUCCGGAUCGCAGUCUGCAACUCGACUGCGUGAAGUCGGAAUCGCUAGUAAUCGUGAAUCAGAAUGUCACGGUGAAUACGUUCCCGGGCCUUGUACACACCGCCCGUCACACCAUGGGAGUGGGUUGCUCCAGAAGUAGCUAGUCUAACCGCAAGGGGGACGGUUACCACGGAGUGAUUCAUGACUGGGGUGAAGUCGAAACAAGGUA